UUAUAUCUUUUAGAAAGUAAACAUGAAUUUA
rnacentral:piRNA from 1 species